GGGAUAGCCUUUCGAAAGAAAGAUUAAUACCUGAUGGUAUGAUGAGAUUGCAUGAUAGCAUCAUUAAAGAUUUAUCGGUGUACGAUGGGGAUGCGUUCCAUUAGGUAGUAGGCGGGGUAACGGCCCACCUAGCCAACGAUGGAUAGGGGUUCUGAGAGGAAGGUCCCCCACAUUGGAACUGAGACACGGUCCAAACUCCUACGGGAGGCAGCAGUGAGGAAUAUUGGUCAAUGGACGAGAGUCUGAACCAGCCAAGUAGCGUGAAGGAUGAAGGUCCUACGGAUUGUAAACUUCUUUUAUAAGGGAAUAAACCCUCCCACGUGUGGGAGCUUGUAUGUACCUUAUGAAUAAGCAUCGGCUAACUCCGUGCCAGCAGCCGCGGUAAUACGGAGGAUGCGAGCGUUAUCCGGAUUUAUUGGGUUUAAAGGGAGCGCAGACGGGAGAUUAAGUCAGUUGUGAAAGUUUGCGGCUCAACCGUAAAAUUGCAGUUGAUACUGGUUUCCUUGAGUGCAGUUGAGGCAGGCGGAAUUCGUGGUGUAGCGGUGAAAUGCUUAGAUAUCACGAAGAACCCCGAUUGCGAAGGCAGCUUGCUAAACUGUAACUGACGUUCAUGCUCGAAAGUGUGGGUAUCAAACAGGAUUAGAUACCCU
rnacentral:rRNA from 1 species